rnacentral:rRNA from 1 species
UACGGGGGGGGCAAGCGUUGUUCGGAAUUACUGGGCGUAAAGGGCUCGUAGGCGGCCAACUAAGUCAGACGUGAAAUCCCUCGGCUUAACCUGGGAACUGCAUCCGAUACUGGAUGGCUUGAAUUCGGGAGAGGGAUGCAGAAUUCCAGGUGUAGCGGUGAAAUGCGUAGAUAUCUGGAGGAAUACCGGUGGCGAAGGCGGCAUCCUGGACCGACAUUGACGCUGAACGGCGAAAGCUAGGGGAGCAAACGGG